CCCUCUCGGUCUCGGGAAAGUAAAACAAAGCAUAUUGAUAAGAUAAACGAAAAUGGCUAGAAAAGAAAAAAAAUGAAUAAAAAAAGAAUUUUGUACAUAAAAAAUGAAAAAUGUGUAAGUUCAAUUUGUCCUCCCCAUUGACUUAUUUCUGUGGGCAAGGCAAGUAAAUUUUCUUUCUAUCUUUCUUUCAUGUAUUCAUAUAAAAAGGACUAGUUGUUGUUGUUGUUCAAUUCAAAACCGUUGAUCAGAAAAGAGGAAGUGAAAAGAUACAAGAGGAAAAAUGCAAGGGUGGAGCAAAUUUGAAAUACCGGACAUGGUGAUGAUGGACAUCCUCUCAAAGCUUCCAGUUAAAUCCCUGGCACGUUUCAGGUGCGUUUGUAAGCCUUGGUCUUCUUCUUUUCGGACCCCUGAUUUCAUUACUAAACAUCACCAAAACAACCUCACAGACAACAACCUUAAUCUCCUCCUCAAACGUUGUCACGGCAACACCCGUAACGACAUCCAUUAUUUCUCUGCACUCUCAACAGAAAAAGGGGGAAACUUUUCAGUAACAGAGAACAUUCAUUUACCCUUUUUUGAAAAUUGUUGGUAUGCCCCUGUAGUUUCUGGUCCUUGCAAUGGAUUACUUUGUUUACAUGAUGCUGGUAAAGCUGCCCUUUGGAACCCAUCGACCAGAGAGUUUAAAAUCCUUCCUCAAUCCUCAGUCAACCGCCCUCCUUCGAUAGAUUCCACUAGGUUUGGUUGCCUUGGGUUUGGUUUUGAUUCUGUAACUGAUGACUACAAAGUUGUAAGAUUUGUUACUAAUUAUUUUAAUGAGAAUGAAGACGAAGGCUUGCAAGCUGAUUGGAUCCACCAAGUUGAGUUGUAUUCACUGAAAAGUGAUUCCUGGAAGGAAAUUUCAGUUCCUGAGGCACAUCCUUACGGCUCACCUUUAUUCAAUAAUUACGUAAAUGGGUUUUAUUAUUGGCAGGCAACUGGGAAUUCUAAUUACCUUAUUCUUUCAUUUGACAUGGCUAAUGAAAAGUUUUCAACUUUACCUUUGCCAAACUUUGGUGGGUCUUUAGCACAAUAUUAUUUGCAACUUUUGGACUUUAAUGGAUCGCUUGGUGCAAUUGUAUACCCAAGGGAGGGAACUGAAAAGUCUAUCGAUUUGUGGGUUAUGAAUGGAUCAUGGACUAGACAAUUCAGUAUUGAAUCUGUUUCUGGAGUUGAGAGGCCACUGGGGUUUUGGAAGAACGGUGAAUUAUUUCUGGAGAGCUCAAACCACGAACUAGUGCUGUUUGAUCCUGCCACUCGAGAGCUUAAGAAUCUUGGUAUCCAUGCUUAUCGGAAUACAAUGAAGCUUAUUGUUUAUGUCGAGAGCUUGGUUCCAAUCAAUGGAACAUCAGAGCAGGAGGAACGUAUAAUUCGUCGGCAGGCUGGAGAUGCAUCAAAUAGACAUUGAAAACGAAGAGGGAAGUCAAGAGGAAUAGGGAAAUAAAAUGAAAGGGGGUGUUUACCUGGCACACACACAACACAUGGUUUGUAAAUUUGGAGAAAUUUGGUCUUACCUUAUGGUAUUUUUUACUUUAUUAUGGUGGUUUCAAGAAGUUUUGGAAGACAGAAUAUAGAGGAUCAAAGUUGAAGUCUGGUACAGAAAGGCUGGCAGGGUAAAUAACCUUUGGUCCUGGAGAGCUGCAUCUGCUAUGGCGAUGGGCUUAACUAUACUUAUUUUCUCUCCAUGUCGUUUGUUGAUCUAUUAUAUGGGGACACUAGGUCUAUGAAUCCAUGUUUAUUAUGCACCUUUCUAUGUUUUCUUGACCGUGUGGAUACACUACCAUCUGCACUUAAGCUCGUUUGGUUGUCUCAGCGUAAAUAUUACUUGCUCCCCACAGAUGAAAAGAGUACAUGAUUGCUUUCAGGCUUCAGUACAGGGAAUAGUAAUGUUGCUCUAAUCUCUCAUAGCCUUAGUUUCAUAUUUCUAAAGCAACAUUGAACUACAAGAUAUAGCCUAGGAGAACAUUAUAUUGCACAACCAGUUCCCCAAAAAGAAGAGAAUAAUUAUAAAGAACAAAAAUUGGUGAAUUGGAGGAAAUCAUGGUGAAGGACAGCUAGCUUUGUUCACAUUUUAUUUUAACAAUAUUAAAGAGGUUUCUCUUGUUUAUUUAUUUA